GCCAGGAAGCUGACCGGAGACUGGCGUACAGGAGGGGUUUCUGGAGAUGUGCUCCUGGGAGCAACACUCGCAGGGAGCAGCCUGCAGCAGAGGGGGAAACGAACUGUGGUGUCGCAGUGCAGCAGCCAUGCUGGGGUGCGACAGAGGCCUCAGCUGAUGCCACUGGGAGCUCUGGAGUUAGCUUGGCCCUUCAGAGUUGUCCCCAGCUGAGGGAAAGGGGCCAGACCUUUGGACUCCCGAAUCAACCAGUCACUGAGCAGAGGAUGCCCCUGCGAGGGGGUGUGACCUUGGGAUUCUACUGGGCCUGGGGAACUUUGAGAAGAGGAUUAAUGGACAGACUGCAACCCCCAGCCCUGCAGCUGAUCUCAGGGCACAACUUAAACUGAGGGAAGACGACAGAGAAGGAAGAACAGGGCAGAAUGCCAUUUGACCAAAGGCGUCCUCAGCAUAGUCUGGGGCUCCUUCAGGAAGAGGGCCCUUUCCAGUUCUGGUGGCCUCCAGGAGUCUCUACACUUCCCUACAGACUUGGCCAGCUUCACUCACUAGGUCAACCCUGAGCUGAAAACAAAAAAAAAGAGAAAUGAAAGCAGAAGAGGGAGCUCACAUUCUUUUCCUGGGUGAUACAGCACUUUUUUUUUUUUUUUUUU
rnacentral:lncRNA from 1 species